ACGAACGCUGGCGGCGUGCCUAAUACAUGCAAGUAGAACGCUGAAGGAGGAGCUUGCUUCUCUGGAUGAGUUGCGAACGGGUGAGUAACGCGUAGGUAACCUGCCUGGUAGCGGGGGAUAACUAUUGGAAACGAUAGCUAAUACCGCAUAAUAGCAGUUGUUGCAUGACAACUGUUUGAAAGGUGCAAUUGCACCACUACCAGAUGGACCUGCGUUGUAUUAGCUAGUUGGUGGGGUAACGGCUCACCAAGGCGACGAUACAUAGCCGACCUGAGAGGGUGAUCGGCCACACUGGGACUGAGACACGGCCCAGACGCCUACGGGAGGCAGCAGUAGGGAAUCUUCGGCAAUGGACGGAAGUCUGACCGAGCAACGCCGCGUGAGUGAAGAAGGUUUUCGGAUCGUAAAGCUCUGUUGUAAGAGAAGAAAGAGUGUGAGAGUGGAAAGUUCACACUGUGACGGUAUCUUACCAGAAAGGGACGGCUAACUACGUG
rnacentral:rRNA from 1 species